rnacentral:rRNA from 1 species
CGAACGCUGGCGGCGUGCUUAACACAUGCAAGUCAAGGGGAAAGUUUUGCUUCGGCGAGAUGAGUAUACUGGCGGACGGGUGAGUAACGCGUAGGCGACCUACCCAUAAGAGAGGGAUAACCCAGCGAAAGUUGGACUAAUACCUUAUAAUACUAUAUUGUUGCAUGACAAAAUAGUCAAAGGGUGCCAAUUUAUUGGUAUUGCUUAUGGAUGGGCCUGCGUUCCAUUAGUUAGUUGGUAGGGUAACGGCUUACCAAGGCGACGAUGGAUAGCUGGUUUGAGAGAGCGAUCAGCCACACUGGGACUGAGAUACGGCCCAGACUCCUACGGGAGGCAGCAGUGAGGAAUAUUGCGCAAUGGGCGAAAGCCUGACGCAGCAACGCCGCGUGGGGGAUGAAGCUUUAUGGAGUGUAAACCCCUGUAAGUAGGGACGAAAGUUACCUAUACGAAUAGGAUGGGUAUUUGACGGUACCUACAGAGUAAGCUCCGGCUAACUCC